AGGACGACGCUGGCGGCGUGCUUAACACAUGCAAGUCGAACGGUGACCCAGGGCUUGCCCUGGUGAUCAGUGGCGAACGGGUGAGUAACACGUGGGCAACCUGCCCCUGACUUCGGGAUAACUCCUCGAAAGAGGAGCUAAUACCGGAUACGACCACUUCGGACAUCCGAUGGUGGUGGAAAGUUUUUCGGUCAGGGAUGGGCCCGCGGCCUAUCAGCUAGUUGGUGGGGUAAUGGCCUACCAAGGCGACGACGGGUAGCCGGCCUGAGAGGGCGACCGGCCACACUGGGACUGAGACACGGCCCAGACUCCUACGGGAGGCAGCAGUGGGGAAUAUUGCGCAAAGGGCGAAAGCCUGACGCAGCGACGCCGCGUGAGGGAUGAAGGCCUUCGGGUUGUAAACCUCUUUCAGCAGGGACGAAGCGAAAGUGACGGUACCUGCAGAAGAAGCACCGGCUAACUACGUG
rnacentral:rRNA from 1 species